GAUGAAGAACGCAGCGAAAUGCGAUAAGUAAUGUGAAUUGCAGAAUUCAGUGAAUCAUCGAAUCUUUGAACGCACAUUGCGCCCGCCAGUAUUCUGGCGGGCAUGCCUGUUCGAGCGUCAUUACAACCCUCAGGCCCCCGGGCCUGGCGUUGGGGAUCGGCGGAAGCCCCCUGCGGGCACAACGCCGUCCCCCAAAUACAGUGGCGGUCCCGCCGCAGCUUCCAUUGCGUAGUAGCUAACACCUCUCAACUGGAGAGCGGCGCGGCCACGCCGUAAAACACCCAACUUCUGAAUGUUGACCUCGAAUCAGGUAGGAAUACCCGCUGAACUUAAGCAUAUCAAUAAGCGGAGGA
rnacentral:misc_RNA from 1 species